UGACCUCGGAUCAGGUAGGGAUACCCGCUGAACUUAAGCAUAUCAAUAAGCGGAGGAAAAGAAACCAACAGGGAUUGCCCUAGUAACGGCGAGUGAAGCGGCAACAGCUCAAAUUUGAAAGCUAGCCUUCGGGUUCGCAUUGUAAUUUGUAGAGGAUGAUUUGGGGAAGCCGCCUGUCUAAGUUCCUUGGAACAGGACGUCAUAGAGGGUGAGAAUCCCGUAUGUGACAGGAAAUGGCACCCUAUGUAAAUCUCCUUCGACGAGUCGAGUUGUUUGGGAAUGCAGCUCUAAAUGGGAGGUAAAUUUCUUCUAAAGCUAAAUAUUGGCGAGAGACCGAUAGCGCACAAGUAGAGUGAUCGAAAGAUGAAAAGCACUUUGGAAAGAGAGUUAAAAAGCACGUGAAAUUGUUGAAAGGGAAGCGCUUGCAAUCAGACUUGUUUAAACUGUUCGGCCGGUCUUCUGACCGGUUUACUCAGUUUGGACAGGCCAGCAUCAGUUUCGGCGGCCGGAUAAAGGCUCUGGGAAUGUGGCCUCCACUUCGGUGGAGGUGUUAUAGCCCAGGGUGUAAUACGGCCAGCCGGGACUGAGGUCCGCGCUCGGCUAGGAU
rnacentral:rRNA from 1 species